rnacentral:rRNA from 1 species
UACGAAGGGGGCUAGCGUUGCUCGGAAUCACUGGGCGUAAAGCGCACGUAGGCGGACUCUUAAGUCGGUGGUGAAAUCCUGGAGCUCAACUCCAGAACUGCCUUCGAUACUGAGAGUCUCGAGUCCGAGAGAGGUGAGUGGAACUGCGAGUGUAGAGGUGAAAUUCGUAGAUAUUCGCAAGAACACCAGUGGCGAAGGCGGCUCACUGGCUCGGUACUGACGCUGAGGUGCGAAAGCGUGGGGAGCAAACAGGG